GACGAACGCUGGCGGCGUGCUUAACACAUGCAAGUCGAACGGAAAGGCCCUGCUUUUGUGGGGUGCUCGAGUGGCGAACGGGUGAGUAACACGUGAGUAACCUGCCCUUGACUUUGGGAUAACUUCAGGAAACUGGGGCUAAUACCGGAUAGGAGCUCCUGCUGCAUGGUGGGGGUUGGAAAGUUUCGGCGGUUGGGGAUGGACUCGCGGCUUAUCAGCUUGUUGGUGGGGUAGUGGCUUACCAAGGCUUUGACGGGUAGCCGGCCUGAUAGGGUGACCGGCCACAUUGGGACUGAGUUCAGGCCCAGACUCCUACGGGAGGCAGCAGUGGGAAGUAUUGCACAAUGGGCGGAGGCCUGAUGCAGCAACGCGGCGUGCGGGAUGACGGCCUUCGGGUUGUAAACCGUUUUCGCCUGUGACGAAGCGUGAGUGACGGGAAUGGGUAAAGAAGCACCGGCUAAAUACGUG
rnacentral:rRNA from 1 species